rnacentral:rRNA from 1 species
UACAGAGGGUGCAAGCGUUGUUCGGAAUUAUUGGGCGUAAAGAGCGUGUAGGCGGCCAGGUAGGUCUGGUGUGAAAACUCGAGGCUUAACCUCGAGAUGUCAUCGGAAACCAUCUGGCUAGAGCCCGGAAGAGGAGAGUGGAAUUCCUGGUGUAGCGGUGAAAUGCGCAGAUAUCAGGAGGAACACCAAUGGCGAAGGCAGCUCGCUGGGACGUGACUGACGCUGAGACGCGAAAGCGUGGGGAGCAAACAGG